ensembl:lncRNA
GCUUUGGAUGUUACGUUGCCAUAGCAACGCCGAGUCGCAUACAGUAGCCGAAUCCGCGAGCGCCCAGCGUCUGGCUUCAAAUGCUACCACCGCGCACCUUUUCUCACCGGUUUACAGCGAGGUUGCGCAGAAGAUCGCGUUAAAUAAUUGUGAAGGAUAUCGCUCGAUACACGGGGGCGUGACAACUUGAGUUGGUGCUCGGAGGAAUUGGGGGUGGCCUAAAUGAGGUGUGAGAGGAGGAGGGAGAGGUCAGUGGAGUAGCGAUGGAGAGAGAGAGAGGGAUGAGGGACAUCAGAUGGCUGAUUAGCACUGAAUUGAUAACGUUCUAAAUUCAGACAAGAGGAAUCAGUCACUGCCUCACUCUCUAUCCACUUUUAACUCUUCACAUCCGACUCUGCGGAUAAUCGGAUAUGGAACACAGCUGCUGUGUCUUUCAGCCUAAAAUGAUAUUCACAUUCAGCUAUACGGCUUCCUCCCUCGGAGGGGCUCGUACGGUCCAGUGGCCAAUCCCGGCACCCUCGGAAUCAGCGUGCCCCCGAGCGAACUCCCUUCACCUCACUUUCGUACCCCCCUCCUCCGACUCUCUCUGCGGCGCACUCGCUCCACUGACAUCACAUCUAUACCAUGAGCUCCCUGGCUCUCUUUGAAUACCCCCGCCCCCUUCCCUUUCCUUCCUGCCUUUUGCCCCCGAACUCUAUGCAGUAGUAGAGGAGGCAUUGUUCACAGCCCACAGCUCAACCCUGGAAUUCUACACCAGUAGGCUCUCUCUCUCUUUCUCACUCUCUUUCUCGUCCAGGUUCAGCAUCCUGCUCCUUCUUCCUCUCCCUCCCUCUCUCUCUCUAUUAAAUUUCCAGUCACACAACAGUGCAGUGGAUAUCCCUCCCUCCCUCCGGUUUUCUCUCUCUCGGUCCUCUUUCCAAUCUCCUCCUCUCUCCCACAGAUACCCUCCUAUGUUGAAAUCUUCCUGGAUCUCUGUAUGUCUCCCUGUUGACUGCUCUCUCUCCAAGUCAAAGCCCUCAAUCUCCAUUGAUUAAGACUGCAAGCUGUCCCCCUCCUCAUUUACAAUUGCCUCAUUUCUUCCUCUUUCACCCCAAUUAAAACAAAUCCUUUCUCAAGCUGAGAUGUGACUGAUUAUGUGGACACCACAGGCCAUUAAAUGAACAGAGAUGUGGCCCGGCUGGAGGAUUAAUGCAGUUCAUAUGAUGAAGACAGAGCGGGCACGCUGAACACUAUCUAUAGGCCCUGUGUGUGUGAUAACCGCUCUUGGCCCUUCAGGGGGAACUGCAGGAAAGCAUGGGGCCCUUUGUGCGCUGCUAUGCUUUACUAGCUUUAGUGAACACGACACAUUUCAUGCCACACUUCGGAAUUAAUGCUCACCGCCGUGUCCUCACCCACAGAGCGAAAUACUCCCAAACCACAUGUGUGGGACAACACGGUGCUCUCUGGGUGUUUGUGCGCAGUUUUGCUGUGCCUGCUGACUGUUUUUGUCAUGCGAGUCAAUGAUGUGAUGCUCUGUUAAAAUUUGUUCAAAACUACAUUCAAAAUGCAAUUCACAUAGAGAGAUUUGAACACAAAUCUCCUGUGUUUUUAAUUGCUGUAUUGAACUUACUUUUGAUUUUGAGAAGUGAAAAAUGUUAGGAUGAUACUGUCCUGAUACUGUUUUUUCUUAUAUAAACAACACUGCUUAUCAACACUGGUUAUCUGCUUCACUGUUUAUAUUUAUUAUGUUUCAAAACAAGGAAUGACAUGAUAAGAGUGGAUCCCUGCAGACCCUCAUGAUGUUGUAAAGGUCAAUAAGUCUCUUAAAAUAUCAGAUAAUUUGAGGCAAAGUUAGUCAAUUUUAUGGUGUGAAUCCCCAAAAACAUGAUUUAUUAUUUUUGGAAAGAAAAAAAAAAACUAAAAACUUUGUAUUCAACGUGUA